CCAUUUUUCUGAAUUAUUUUGUAGAAUUUCCCUUUAUUUGCCAGACAAAUAUGUUGCUUCACCAUCAGAAGUAUAUUUUAUCACAAGGACAGUAAAGUAAAAGUUUAGUGUGUAGAUUAUUUUGAAUUCUCGAAGAACUGGGAAUUUUGUUGUUUCCCAUGAAUCUCAGUUCUUCAGAAGAUAACAAGAUGGCCGCGCCCACGAAGUGGUUAACUUUUUCCGUCUAGCAACAGGAAAACACUCGUUAACUCCAUACCCAGACACUCUAAUAUUCUUUUCCGGGAAAUGGGUCGGCUUACCCCGACUCUGUGUUGGCCCAAAAGGCCCACCAGGAGUGCCGAGUUUUAGGGGAGACAGGAUUCAAAGAUUUAGCUUUAGAAGAAUGAACGAUGCGAGCAUUGCAAGCCCGAUGUCCGAGAACGAUGACUUGUUGUUCCCGCGGCCACCCUGCGGAAUCGUGGGGUCCAGCCCCGACAAGAAAGGUAGCUGUAAGAUGGAGAGUGACGGGAGUAUAAACACAAACACACACCAUUCUGAACUGAAUUUUGAUAUAAGCAAUUGGUCUCCAGACGUUCCGCCAGGACUUGAUUUUUCAUACUUGCCAACAACAUUCAACAGUCAGGAAACUCUAACCCCGGAAAACAGUCCAACUUUGCAUGAUUUUGUCGGCAAAAUCCGUCGCCCAAAGUCGCGGCUGUACUGCAGACGUGGGGCAGUGGUUCUCAACAAGAAUCCUCUUGGAAAGGAUAUAAAAGAAGAAAGAAAGCUUCGAACCGCAGCCAGCAAUGGAAAUGUUUGUGAAGUCCGUAGAUUACUGGACGAUGGUACUAAUCCAAACAGAGCAGAUGAAAAGGGCAGAGCAGCACUUCACUUUGCUGUCACCAAAGGAAGUCAUGAGAUGGUUCAGAUACUGUUAGACAAAGGAGCAGACGUCAACUUGAAAGAUGGGGUUGGUAAUACACCGCUGCAUUUGGCGGUUUUCAGCAAUCACAUGGGUGUGGUCACAACGUUAUUAGAGUCGGGAGCCAACACCCACGAGCCAGACAGGGGCGGGCACACCCCCGUUCAUUUGGCACGUUCCAGGUUACGACAUAUUAAAGAUUCCUCGUGUGGUAUCACAUCUAUGCAGCUACAGCGUGAAGUAUUACAGCUCGUCUCCAUGUUGAAGGUAUACAUGACGAGCAUUGGUUUAGCAGAACAUAUUCAGCGUCUGGAUCAACUCACAUUACAAGUGCAAGAAUCGGCAACCAAUGACCAGGUGGAUCAAAUUGAGGAGAUACUCAACAGCUUCACAAGUCUGAGUCUGCAAAAGUCUUAAGGAGUGAGGGGGAGAGAGGGGGACAAGACAAACGAUUCGCAAAUAAAUGGAUCGGAAACAUUACAGUGGCCACAACAAUCAUGGAUAAUUCAUCUUACUUUGGUAAUAUCAACCUGUAAAAAGUGUCAUAAAUUAAGUGAGUGAAGAGUUAGACAUUAUUGCCAAUCAAUCGUACCUCAGGGCUUCAACAUUUACACUAGACCACAGCCUUCUCUCUCAACAGUGGUUCACUGGCCAAAUGCCAGUUAAAACAGCCAAAGACUAGCAGAAAUUCUCUCGUAUUGGUUCGGCUAAUUCAGUGUUGAAAAGCAUGUGAAUUAUGGACUCGUGAAAAAAGGUAGGGGACCAGUGAAAUGACAAGCUAACUGGUCCCGCUGGCCAGGCGUUGAAAAAGUUAAGGGCAAACUUUGGACCACCGGA